AACCUCCGCAAUGUGAGAAAUCGCGACGGGGGGAUCCCAAGUGCCAUUCUUAACGGGAUGGCUUUUCAUUAGUGUAAAGAGCUUUUGGAAUAAGGGCUGGGCAAGACCGGUGCCAGCCGCCGCGGUAACACCGGCAGCUCUAGUGGUAGCAGUUUUUAUUGGGCCUAAAGCGUCCGUAGCCGGUUUAAUAAGUCUCUGGUGAAAUCCUGUAGCUUAACUGUGGGAAUUGCUGGAGAUACUAUUAGACUUGAGACCGGGAGAGGUUAGAGGUACUCCCAGGGUAGAGGUGAAAUUCUGUAAUCCUGGGAGGACCGCCUGUUGCGAAGGCGUCUAACUGGAACGGUUCUGACGGUGAGGGACGAAAGUUAGGGGCGCGAACCGGAUUAGAUACCCGGGUAGUCCUAACUGUAAACGAUGCGGACUUGGUGUUGGGUGGCUUUGAGCUGCUUCAGUGCCGAAGGGAAGCUGUUAAGUCCGCCGCCUGGGAAGUACGGUCGCAAGACUGAAACUUAAAGGAAUU
rnacentral:rRNA from 1 species